UAUGAUAUCAUAUAUUUUUAGAAAUUUUGAACCAAAAUCUUGUCAAAUUACUCAAGAUAUAGCUCAAAACAAAACCACUACUAAACUAAGUGACUUACUACCCUUAGAUUGCAAGUGAUGUCUUUAACUUCCUAUAUCUCCUUCAUUCUAGAUUAUAAUUUAUUAAGCAGUACUUAAAAACUAUAGCCAAGAAAAUGUUUUCUCUGAUUCUAAUUGCUGAUUCUUCAUUUCUUUUUGUAAGUAU
rnacentral:lncRNA from 1 species